rnacentral:rRNA from 1 species
AGAGUUUGAUCCUGGCUCAGGACGAACGCUGGCGGCGUGCCUAACACAUGCAAGUCGAACGGAGCUAGACGCUGAGGACGUAGCUUGCUAUUGAAUCUUGUUUAGCUUAGUGGCGGACGGGUGAGUAACGCGUGAGCAACCUGCCUUUCAGAGGGGGAUAACGUUUGGAAACGAACGCUAAUACCGCAUGACAUUGCUGGACCGCAUGAUCCGGCAAUCAAAGGAGCAAUCCGCUGAAAGAUGGGCUCGCGUCCGAUUAGGUAGUUGGCGGGGCAACGGCCCACCAAGCCGACGAUCGGUAGCCGGACUGAGAGGUUGAACGGCCACAUUGGGACUGAGACACGGCCCAGACUCCUACGGGAGGCAGCAGUGAGGGAUAUUGGUCAAUGGGGGAAACCCUGAACCAGCAACGCCGCGUGAGGGAAGACGGUUUUCGGAUUGUAAACCUCUGUCCUCUGUGGAGAUGAUGACGGUAGCAGAGGAGGAAGCUCCGGCUAACUACGUGCCAGCAGCCGCGGUAAUACGUAGGGAGCGAGCGUUGUCCGGAUUUACUGGGUGUAAAGGGUGCGUAGGCGGCUAUGCAAGUCAGAAGUGAAAUCCAUGGGCUUAACCCAUGAACUGCUUUUGAAACUGCGUGGCUUGAGUGGAGUAGAGGUAGGCGGAAUUCCCGGUGUAGCGGUGAAAUGCGUAGAGAUCGGGAGGAACACCAGUGGCGAAGGCGGCCUACUGGGCUCUAACUGACGCUGAGGCACGAAAGCGUGGGUAGCAAACAGGA